rnacentral:rRNA from 1 species
GUCUAUGGCCAUAGCACUCUGAACGCACCAGAUCUCGUCUGAUAUAGGAAGCUAAGCAGAGUCAGGCCUGAUGAGUACCUGGAUGGGGAAAGCCUGAAGUGAUGGAAGCCACGGGCU